CUACGGGGGGCAGCAGUGGGGAAUAUUGCACAAUGGGGGAAACCCUGAUGCAGCGACGCCGCGUGAGCGAAGAAGUAUUUCGGUAUGUAAAGCUCUAUCAGCAGGGAAGAAAAUGACGGUACCUGACUAAGAAGCCCCGGCUAAAUACGUGCCAGCAGCCGCGGUAAUACGUAUGGGGCAAGCGUUAUCCGGAUUUAUUGGGUUUAAAGGGUGCGUAGGCGGAAUAUCAAGUCAGCGGUAAAAAUUCGGGGCUCAACCCCGUCGUGCCGUUGAAACUGAGGUUCUUGAGUGGGCGAGAAGUACGC
rnacentral:rRNA from 1 species